rnacentral:rRNA from 1 species
UACGGAGGGGAGCUAGCGUUGUUCGGAAUUACUGGGCGUAAAGCGCACGUAGGCGGCUUUUAAGUCAGGGGUGAAAUCCCGGGGCUCAACCCCGGAACUGCCCUUGAAACUGGAGAGCUAGAAUCUUGGAGAGGCGAGUGGAAUUCCGAGUGUAGAGGUGAAAUUCGUAGAUAUUCGGAAGAAACACCAGUGGCGAAGGCGACUCGCUGGACAAGUAUUGACGCUGAGGUGCG